GAUGAACGCUGGCGGCGUGCCUAACACAUGCAAGUCGAGCGAUUCUCUUCGGAGAAGAGCGGCGGGCGGGUGAGUAACGCGUGGGUAACCUGCCCUGUACACACGGAUAACAUACCGAAAGGUAUGCUAAUACGAGAUAAUAUGCUUUUGUCGCAUGGUAGAAGUAUCAAAGCUCCGGCGGUACAGGAUGGACCCGCGUCUGAUUAGCUAGUUGGUAAGGUAACGGCUUACCAAGGCGACGAUCAGUAGCCGACCUGAGAGGGUGAUCGGCCACAUUGGAACUGAGACACGGUCCAAACUCCUACGGGAGGCAGCAGUGGGGAAUAUUGCACAAUGGGCGAAAGCCUGAUGCAGCAACGCCGCGUGAGCGAUGAAGGCCUUCGGGUCGUAAAGCUCUGUCCUCAAGGAAGAUAAUGACGGUACUUGAGGAGGAAGCCCCGGCUAACUACGUGCCAGCCGCCGCCGUAA
rnacentral:rRNA from 1 species